rnacentral:tRNA from 1 species
GCCGUCUUAGCUCAGUUGGUAGAGCGCAUCCAUGGUAAGGAUGAGGUCGCCGGUUCAACCCCGGCAGACGGCUCCA